rnacentral:rRNA from 1 species
UACGGAGGGUGCGAGCGUUGUCCGGAAUCACUGGGCGUAAAGGGCGCGUAGGUGGCCUGUGGAAGUCUGCGGUGAAAGCCCGGCGCUCAACGCCGGGUCUGCCGUGGAUACUCUCGGGCUUGAGCUUACUAGAGGCAGAUGGAAUUCCGGGUGUAGCGGUGGAAUGCGUAGAGAUCCGGAAGAACACCGGUGGCGAAGGCGGUGGUCUGGGCCGGAACUGACGCUGAGGAGCGAAAGCGUGGGGAGCGAACAGG